rnacentral:pre_miRNA from 1 species
UUUUAGGUAAAUGGUAAGUAGCCAACUUGGGGGAAGUGAUCAACCCUUUGGAUAAAAUUAAAUUUGCUUCUUCUUACCCCAAAAACUUUUUACCAUGGGUAAAAAGAAUUUGCAUGGGGUAUAAAAAGAACCAUAUUUAGAUUUAGCCCAAGGGUUGAUGAUGUAUUUUUCCCCAAGAAGGUUGCACACUAUUUACCUGAAG